CAGUCGCCGCGGUAAUACGAAGGGGGCUAGCGUUGUUCGGAAUUACUGGGCGUAAAGGGCGCGUAGGCGGCCAUUCAAGUUAGAUGUGAAAGCCCUGGGCUCAACCUAGGAAUUGCAUUUGAUACUGUUUGGCUUGAGUUCGGGAGAGGUGGGUGGAAUUCCCAGUGUAGAGGUGAAAUUCGUAGAUAUUGGGAAGAACACCAGUGGCGAAGGCGGCUCACUGGACCGACACUGACGCUGAGGCGCGAAAGCGUGGGGAGCAAACAGGAUUAGAUACCCCAGUAGUCCCUGUCUCUUAUAC
rnacentral:rRNA from 1 species